GAUGAACGCUGGCGGCGUGCCUAAUACAUGCAAGUCGAGCGAACGGACGAGAAGCUUGCUUUUCUGAUGUUAGCGGCGGACGGGUGAGUAACACGUGGAUAACCUACCUAUAAGACUGGGAUAACUUCGGGAAACCGGAGCUAAUACCGGAUAAUAUUUUGAACCGCAUGGUUCAAAAGUGAAAGACGGUCUUGCUGUCACUUAUAGAUGGAUCCGCGCUGCAUUAGCUAGUUGGUAAGGUAACGGCUUACCAAGGCAACGAUGCAUAGCCGACCUGAGAGGGUGAUCGCACACAUGGGAAGUGAGACAGGGUCCAGACCCCAAGGGGGGGAAGCAGUGGGAAUUCUCCCGGAAGGGGGACAGGCCAGACGGGGCACCGCCGCGGGAGGAAUGAAGGUUUUGGGAUCGAAAACUUUUUUUAUAGGGAAAAAAAAAAUGUUAAAGUACCUGUCAACAUUUUGAGGGAACCUAAUAAAAAACCCACGCCAAACUCCGUC
rnacentral:rRNA from 1 species